GUCACGUCACGCAUCUCGCCUUCUUGAGCCCGCAACCCGCCAUCUGCAACGCACUCCCAGGGGCUACGCUACGCAAUUCAUUACUGAUCGUUGUUCAAACACACUAGCAAUGUUCUUCUUCUCUUAUCCCGCUCAGGCGAGCUGCAGCGACUGUUCCGUUCAUACCAGGUACCGUUGCCUCACCAGCAAAUAACAGUAUGGGUGGUAUUGGUUCACUCGGUCCCGGAACAGGACACGCAAGACAUCUUUGCGCGUACCCAUCAGUAUUGGCACAGUCAGUCGAAUACGCUCCCAGGAAAUAAGGAUCAGAAGACCAAAAGGAUCGUAACACAGUAGCAGGAUAUGGAAGCGAGGGACAGAAAAGUUUCACAGCAUUCGAACAUAGCACUCCUAUAGAUGGGGUAAGAAUGACAUAGUCGGCCUGAAACUCUUCACCAUCGGUUGUAUAAACAUAUGCGCGACAGCCCGACUUCAUACAG